rnacentral:rRNA from 1 species
GACGAACGCUGGCGGUGUGCUUAACACAUGCAAGUCGAACGGUAAGGCCCUUUCGGGGGUACACGAGUGGCGAACGGGUGAGUAACACGUGAGUAACCUGCCCUCAUCUCUGGGAUAACAGUCGGAAACGGUUGCUAAUACUGGAUAUGAGCCUGCAAGGCAUCUUGUGGGUUGGAAAGAUUUUUUGGUUGGGGAUGGACUCGCGGCCUAUCAGCUUGUUGGUGAGGUAGUGGCUCACCAAGGCUUCGACGGGUAGCCGGCCUGAGAGGGCGACCGGCCACAUUGGGACUGAGAUACGGCCCAAACUCCUACGGGAGGCAGCAGUGGGGAAUAUUGCACAAUGGACGGAAGUCUGAUGCAGCAACGCCGCGUGCGGGAUGACGGCCUUCGGGUUGUAAACCGCUUUCAAUUGUGACGAAGCUUUCUGUGACGGUAGCAGUAGAAGAAGCACCGGCUAACUACGUG